CGAACUCCUGACCUCAACUGAUCCGCCUGCCUCGGCCUCCCAAAGUGCUGGGAUUAUAGGCUUGAGCCACCGUGCUCGGCCUGAAGCAUUUUAUGAUGCCCACUACAGGGUGUUCAUAAGUGGUAAAUAAGGUCAUUGGUCUAGAUAACUUAAGAUCCACUGCAACCUGGAGAUGAAGAACUUUAUAAAGAACUUUGUAAAGGGGAUAAUUAUUACCACCCAUCAGAGUUUAGAUUUAGUCCCACUGAUUAUAUUUCUCCUUUUAUAGACAGAGAAAUCAGUGAAAAAUAAAUAUAUAUUUGGAGGAUUAAAUCCCAAUCUAUAUCUCGAGGCUACCUUUAUGUCUAAUAGUUGUGAUAUAACAUGUUGCCUAGAAUAGUUCUAUAAAUGGAAUUCACACAUAGGACCACAGAAUCGCUUCUUCACAGGGUUUCAGAGUUGGAGGACAUAUAAAAGGACAAAUCAAGCCAUAAAUCUGUAAGUAAUCCUAAAAGAAGAGUGGUGUGUCAGUUAUUGGCACCAGUACAUGAUGAAUCCUGCUGGGUUGUGGAAAAAGGAGAAACUGACCUGAACAAAACCAUACUCUACACAGCUGUCCCUGACAUUCCACCACCUGUUAGCAUUCAGUAUUAAUUUCAUGGAUCAAAUCAAGGCAUGCAAGUGCAUUAAAUAAUUUUUUAAAAAACAACUGCUGAUUGCUGAGGGUCUAUGAGGGAAGAAAAAUUAGGAGCUGUUAUUUUCCUAUCAACCAUUACCCGCAUUAACAAGAACAGGAAAUGUGAAUAAAUAAAACUCUUACAUCAUACCAGAAAUAAGAACAGCUGAAUCCCCUAAAGGAUUUUUAUAUUCUAUCAUCAGACAACUAAAGAAAAUAAUUCCAUAUAAAUGGCUGCAUUAAUCAUUGGAAGAAACUUCCCUGCUUUUUUAAAAGAGCAACUAGAAAUACUUUUUGAAAAUAGAGUAACCAUUUGUUAAACCAUAUAUACCAUUGAGGAUAUUUUGGGCAUAAAAGGGAAUUUCCACAAUAAUUCUAUAGUAAUCUUUUAUAGCCAAAGUUAUGAAGAAGAUCAGGAUUUGGGAAAAUUGCGGUCAAGAUUUGAUUUUCCUUUUCUGUUUGAUAGCCUUAUCUAAAUUCUCCUAGCUUGAAUGUAGUAAAUAUGAGUGUGUAAAAACGUAUGUAUAUCUAAUUCAUCUCUUGGGGGAGGUUUAAUGUAACUAUAAAUAAAAAUUCUUUCCCCAAGUAAAAAAAAUGUUACAUAGUGGUUAAUUCUACCUUUUCUCAUUUCUCUACAUCCAAAACUAUCACCAAGAACUGUUAAUUUUACUUUAUAAAGCUCUCUCGAUCGGCCUCUUCAGUUUCAUCACCACUGCUUUAAAUGAGGCAUACUUUCUCGUUUGGAUUAUGGCAGCAGUCUAGCAGUCUCUCUUCCUUUAGUCUCUUCUUCAAAUCCACGUCUGCCACCUCCGCCCUUCAUAUCAUCCAUCAUGUAUUUUUCCCUGCCUAAAUUCUUUGGUUGGCGUCUAUUAAAUCCAAGUUCCUUAAGCAUGGCAUACAGGGGCCAGCUUCUAUGAGCUGUUCCUUACUUCUCCUGUCUCAUUUCCUGACACUUUCCCUUAUACCUUGAGAUGCAGCUUACCAGUACCUCUACUGUAUAUACAACCACAUACAUAUACACCCUGAUCCCCUCCUUCAUGUACAGCCAUAUAUAAUUCUCUCCACCACAUCCUUUAUCACAUUCCUACAAGCCUUGAAGCAAUCUGAACACAGAAACCAUCUUUAGUUUUCAACUCGUAAUUGGGGCUGAACAUACUUGUCUUGAACACAAAUUGCUGCUUUGUUAGUAUAGGUAUCCUAAUGUGGCACAUGUAUAUAGUUAAAGCUAUAUAAUGCAUUCCCCAAGUUCCCCUUCAGGACUAAAGGGUUAUUUCCCAACAGCUGGAAGUCUUGCUGCCAGAAAGCCUUCUUCAGGAAUUGCCUUGUCUCAACUCAAGACAACCCUAAAGGACAUUUCCCAGUUUCCUGUGGGGUCCACUGAGGCCUUGACAUUGUACUGAAGUACAGGUGUUUAUCACAAGAACAAUCUCUGAUAAACCUCCUGUAAACACACUCUUAGAGUCAGCUUGCUGGGGAACCCAAGCUAUAAUAUGUUUGUCUUGUUGACACUUUCUUCUGAGUUCUAAAUCAUGGGAAGUUAUGGUUACCUAAAAUCUUACUAAUUGAAGAUCAUUUAAUCAGACUUGUAUUCAGCAUCUGCUCCAUGCCAGGCAUUGUGCCAGAUACAAUGGAAACGGAUCAAGACUUGGCCCCUGACCUGGAGUUUACAGUCUGAGGUGACAGUUACACAUGAAACUAACUGUACUAGAGCAUCUUGAGAAUCUUUUUGACUUAAACAUCAGUAAUUUUACUAUAAAAGUCAAAAGCAGGGACUUUGUGGUGUUAAAAAAACAAAAGGAAAAUAUUUCAGGGGAAGGAAGAUGAAUAUAAAUAAGAAGAAUGAAAUUUUAGAAGAGCACAGAAUUUGUCUUUGUAAUUCUGAAAGCCUUUAGGGAAAAGAUAAUUUCUACUUUUCAUUUUGAAAUAAUUUCAAACUUACAGAAAAGUCACAAGAAUACUGAACUUACAUAUACCUUUUAUUGCAAAUUCAUCAGUUUUUAACAUUUUCCCUCAUUCUUUUUCUUUACACACAUACAAUUUGUUUUUGUGAACCAUCUGAAAAUAGGUUAAAUACUACAUUAUAUCACUUUAUUCCUUAAUAAUGUACUUCCUAAAAACAAGGGUAUUCAUCUCUGUAACCACAAUGUAGUUAUCAAAGUCAGGAAAUUUGGCUUUAAUCUAGAGUCCAGAUUCAAAUUCUGUUCAUCGUCCCAAAAAAGCUGAGUUUAGGAAGAGUCAUGUAACUUAACAUUUGUAAUGUAAAUUAAAAGUCGUUUGAAGUAAGCCAUAGACGAUCUCGGAAGUUUGCUAACAUUAUUUAAAUACCACAGUGAAAUGAACCACUGCUGAUUUUCUACGGAGAAAGCAAAGAUUAGGCUCAUGUUACCUGUAAAGGUCUGACUUAUGGCUCCCCAGAAGUGAACCUUACUCUGGAGAGCCCAUUUGGUGAGGUUCUUUUCACAAGGGAUUGUAUAUUUUUGACCCAGGGAUUGUCGAUUUGUUGAGCUCCCAUGAAGUGUGCCGCCUUGUCAUUAACACGUCUUCACAAUGCUUAUCUCAAACGACAUUCUUUGGAACUGCCUUUCAUAGUGAGGCACCCCGCCAGCCAGGCCGGUAGGUAGGUAGAAUGGCGGCUUCGGGAACUAGAUCCUGCUGGUCUCCCCUAACACGUGGUCCUUGAUGCUCUAGCGGACUGGGCCGUGAACCUCAGCACACAGCGCUUUGCCAGGGCCGGGGACGCACGCCGGCCUGCCGGAGGUGUCCGGAGGACUUGGGCGGGGGCGCGGCUUCUGCUGCACCACUUCCUCUCCAGCCUCGCGGGCUUCUAGGACCCUAUGACAUAAUUUCCGGAGUGGUCUGUUGGGAGUUGUGGCGGCGGCGAGGCCCAAGCAGAGCCGGCCAAGGGAGAGAAAAACCCAUGUCGUGUCCACCCCAAAGCUCGGCGCCUCUAGAAGCCAUGGCUUUUCCGCUGAAGCUAGAGCCGGACAUGCAGGGAAAAGUAGAUUUGUUUCGGGCCCGUAUCGCCCAGGAAGCCGAGGAUCUCGUGUCCACCUUCUUUCCGCAGAAGCUCUCAGAGUUGGAUAGCCAAGUUCAGGAGCUCCGGCUGCAAGACCUGCCCAGAAUCCAUUCAGUGCCAACCCCAGAGCCCCUGGACACCCCAGUCACCGUGGGGGAUGGGCCCAACCGGGAUCUGCCGCCUCUGCAGACCCAGUUCUCCAUCAAGGUCCCGGCACUGCCUGGCAGCGAGGGACAGCUUCUGCGGAGCAACCAGCAUCUGGUGGAGCUGAUUGAGCGGGUAAAACCUGAGAUCGAGCUGCUGAGAGAGAAAUGCAACACAGUGCGGAUGUGGGUGCAGCUGCUCAUCCCAAAGGUGGAGGACGGCAACAACUUCGGGGUGUCUAUCCAGGAAGACACUGUGGACCAGCUGUGGACCGUGGAGAGCACAGCGACCUCCUAUCUACGCGGCUUCUCCACCUACUACAACACCCGGGCCAAGUUGGUAUCCAAGAUAGUGAAGUACCCGCAAGUGGAAGAUUAUCGCCGCACUGUAGCAGAGGUGGAUGAAAACGAGUAUCUGAGUGUGCGCCAGAUCCUGCUGCACCUACGGAACGAGUAUGCCACCUUGCAUGAUGUAAUCCUUAAAAACUUCCAGAAGAUCAAGACCCCUCGGAGCACCAACACUGAUAACCUAUACUGAUAGCCUUUCUUUACCCCACUUGCCUUCAGGAGUUGGCUGAGCUGUUUAGGCAGCUAGAAAGCUGAUUAUUAAUGACUGUACAGGUGGUGAAAUGACUGGAAAUGUGCGUUAUUACUUAGAAUUUCAUACAGCUUACCCUCAUACUGAAUGAUCUUUUGGUGUAAUUUUCAUUUGAUUUUCCAUUUGUGGGGAGAAUGGGGACAAACCAUCAAGGAGAAAGGACUGCCAUUUUUAAAAGCAGCUUUGUAGAUGAAUGUUGGCCAAGGUUUCUUUAUUAUGGUGUUGGUGACAUUUAAUGGUUUCAGGGUUUACUUAAAAAACUAAAGCUUAAAAGAAAUUUAAAUGAAGCUUUUCCUAAAGCUCUGCUGUCUGUUAAACUUUGUUCAAACUUCAGAAUGCUCCUUUUACACCAUCAUUUUUCUUUUUUGCAAGGAAGGGAGUUUAAAGGGAUAUGUUUAGGUCAGUGUAUGCCUCCAGUUUAGCAGAUUGAAAUAAAACUGGUUAUAAAAUUUUAUGA